CUGAGACCUGAUGCCGAGCCGAUUGUGGUGAAGUGGAUGAUCCUAUGCUGUCGAGAAAAGCCUCUAGCGAGUUUCAUGGCGGCCCGUACCCCAAACCGACUCAGGUGGUCAGGUAGAGAAUACCGAGGCGUUCGGGUGAACUAUGGUUAAGGAACUCGGCAAAAUGCCCCCGUAACUUCGGGAGAAGGGGGGCCAUUCCUGGUGACGAGUCUUGCACUCCGAGCUGGGGGUGGCCGCAGAGACCAGCGAGAAGCGACUGUUUACUAAAAACACAGGUCCGUGCGAAGCCGUAAGGCGAUGUAUACGGACUGACGCCUGCCCGGUGCUGGAACGUUAAGGGGACCGGUUAGCUCUGAUUCGUCGGGGCGAAGCUGAGAACUUAAGCGCCAGUAAACGGCGGUGGUAACUAUAACCAUCCUAAGGUAGCGAAAUUCCUUGUCGGGUAAGUUCCGACCUGCACGAAUGGCGUAACGACUUCUCGACUGUCUCAACCAUAGGCCCGGUGAAAUUGCAUUACGAGUAAAGAUGCUCGUUUCGCGCAGCAGGACGGAAAGACCCCGGGACCUUUACUAUAGCUUGAUAUUGGUGUUCGGUUCGGCUUGUGUAGGAUAGGUGGGAGACUUUGAAGCAGCAACGCCAGUUGUUGUGGAGUCGUCGUUGAAAUACCACUCUGGUCGUGCUGGAUGUCUAACCUGGGUCCGUGAUCCGGAUCAGGGACAGUGUCUGGUGGGUAGUUUAACUGGGGCGGUUGCCUCCUAAAGGGUAACGGAGGCGCCCAAAGGUUCCCUCAGCCUGGUUGGCAAUCAGGUGUUGAGUGUAAGUGCACAAGGGAGCUUGACUGUGAGACUGACGGGUCGAGCAGGUACGAAAGUAGGGACUAGUGAUCCGGCGGUGGCUUGUGGAAGCGCCGUCGCUCAACGGAUAAAAGGUACCCCGGGGAUAACAGGCUGAUCUUCCCCAAGAGUCCAUAUCGACGGGAUGGUUUGGCACCUCGAUGUCGGCUCGUCGCAUCCUGGGGCUGGAGUAGGUCCCAAGGGUUGGGCUGUUCGCCCAUUAAAGCGGUACGCGAGCUGGGUUUAGAACGUCGUGAGACAGUUCGGUCCCUAUCCGCUGUGCGCGUAGGAGUGUUGAGAAGGGCUGUCCCUAGUACGAGAGGACCGGGACGGACGAACCUCUGGUGUGCCAGUUGUCCUGCCAAGGGCAUGGCUGGUUGGCUACGUUCGGGAGGGAUAACCGCUGAAAGCAUCUAAGCGGGAAGCCUGCUUCGAGAUGAGCACUCCCACCUCCUUGAGAGGGUAAGGCUCCCAGUAGACGACUGGGUUGAUAGGCCGGAUAUGGAAGCCCUGUGAGGGGUGGAGUUGACCGGUACUAAUAGGCCGAGGGCUUGUCCU
rnacentral:rRNA from 1 species